CCUUGCCACGCCUCUGAGAGGAAGAGGGCAGUUUCAGUAGAAGCACUUUCAGUCUAUGAGAGAAUGCCAAGAACAUUGACUGCCUUGAGGUCUCCAGCACCAUUCUCCACUGCUAAGAGCAUGAUCUGGCUGCUCCAGUCUCUCACGCUUGUCUCCUGCCUUGGCCCAGGGAACACAGUUUCACAAACCAGCUCAACCCCAUUGAUUGUGAACGGGGUCCUGGGGGAGUCUGUAACACUUACCCUGAAGUUUCCUGUGGAAGAGAAGAUCAUGUCCAUCACCUGGCUACAUGAUGGAAAAUCUGCCGUCUUCAUAGAGCCAAAUGAAGCACUAAACAGGGUGACUGACCCAAAGCGGAAAAAUCGAUUGAAUGUCACCGAGUCCUAUUCCUUGCAGCUCAGCAACCUGACGAUGGCAGACUCAGGACAUUACAAAGCCCAGAUAACCACACUGACCUCUUUACUGUUUACCAGUUAUGAUCUGAGGAUCUUCAGACGACUGAGGAACUUACAAGUUGUCCCUCACACCAAAUGGUCUAAUAAUAGGACCUGUGAGAUCCUCCUGACCUGCUCUGUGGAGAAUCCAAAUGAUAACAUCUUAUUCAGGUGGCAGGUCUCAGGAAAAACACUUCAAAGUGAAGCAAACCUUACUAUCUCCUGGGACCCCAAGAGUUUCAAUGAAGAGACCUACACCUGCAUAGCUGAGAAUCCUGUCAGCAAUUCAUCCUUCUCUGUCUCUGUCCAGAGUCUCUGCAAAAGUGUUACUAAUGAAAAAAAUGAACACCUGGAUACCAUGUGGAUUGUAGUGGCAGUUUCUUCAAUAUGUAUAGUUGUGGUCAUCAUCGUGCUGUUAUUUGUUUGGAGGAAAAAAAUAGGUUUCUUUCAGUUCUCUACUCAGCAAACCCAGUGUCCUGCAGAGACUGUGAGGAACUUAGAGUAUGCUUCCUUCUCUCCAGGGAGCACUGUGUAUGCUCAGGUCACCCAUUCAAAGAGGGUGAGUACUUUCAGGUUUAUACUCCUUCAUGGUCAUUAUUUUCACAGUCAUUAUACAUGAACUUGUCACCAAAUUUUUCUAAAUUCAAAUGACAUACACCAUUGAGGAGAGGCAAAGGCAGCGACAAGAACUGCAGAGUUAUGUGCGGGACCUUUCUAGACCUCAAUGCUCACACCUCAGUAGAAUGUUGACUCAUACCCUGCUUUACAUUGCUUAAUCUAACUGCUUAACGCAUCAGUGAGUCUUGUCCCUUCAGCUUAAUUACAAGCUGCCUGGAAGUGAAAAUUAUGUCUUCCUCUCUCUUCCCCUAUGUCUUAGCAUGAUGCUCAGUAAAUACUUGCUGGAUGGAUCAGAGUUCAUUUAAGCUUGAGAGCCCCCAGAGGGCAUGAUUUUGUAUCAGGGGCUUUCUCAUCCUGGAUGUAGGGGAAAUAGGGGAGCCCAGAAGAGUCUCUCAAGAGGGAAGAGGGGCAAGAAUUUGCAAUCCCUCAACAGUAGAGGACACUAAAGGCAUGAGCGGUCCUCAAUCGUCCCCUGCCCUCUAGCAACAUAACAGGAUGGCUUUGGUCAGGCACCAGGAACUCCUCGCCAUGCAUCAGUAAUUCCCCAUCAACCGCAAAAUAAAGCACCUGCAGGUGGUACAUUUCUAAAUAACACUACACAUCCUGGGAGGCCAUCUUCCAUGUCUUCUGAAAAAUAAGCCGAGAGCCAGCAUUCUUCAGUUGAUGGAAACAAUGGUCUGGCUAGAAAUCUUGGAUUCCACAAGCAAAUCUCCCUUCACAAAGCCCCUCACAGGAAAUGGAAAUCCCAAAACCUGUGAAAAACAAUGACUCCACCACAAUUUACUCUGAAGUUCAACAGUCCCAAGGGAAAGCCCAUCUAUUCCAGGACAACUGCCCUUCACAAU